GGAGGAAAAGAAACCAACAGGGAUUGCCCUAGUAACGGCGAGUGAAGCGGCAACAGCUCAAAUUUGAAAUCUGGCCUCGGCCCGAGUUGUAAUUUGCAGAGGAUGCUUCUGGCGCGGUGCCUUCCGAGUUCCCUGGAACGGGACGCCACAGAGGGUGAGAGCCCCGUAUGGUCGGACACCAAGCCUGUGUGAAGCUCCUUCGACGAGUCGAGUAGUUUGGGAAUGCUGCUCUAAAUGGGAGGUAAAUCUCUUCUAAAGCUAAAUACCGGCCAGAGACCGAUAGCGCACAAGUAGAGUGAUCGAAAGAUGAAAAGCACCUUGAAAAGGGGGUUAAAUAGUACGUGAAAUUGUUGAAAGGGAAGCACUUAUGACCAGACUUGGGCCGGGCGGCUCAUCAGGGGUUCUCCCCUGUGCACUCCGCCCGGCACAGGCCAGCAUCGGUUUUCGCGGGGGGAUAAGACCGGCAGGAACGUGGCACCCUCCGGGGUGUGUUAUAGCCUGCCGGACGAUACCCUCGCGGGGACCGAGGUCCGCGCUCCGCAAGGAUGCUGGCGUAAUGGUCAUCAGUGACCCGUCUUGA
rnacentral:rRNA from 1 species